CCAUUCUCACUCCAAAGGCGUCAAAAACCGAAGCAUGGUCAAGCGCCCCUAGCGUCACUUUUAUGACGCCAAAUGUGCCUCUCGGCGUCGAAUAUCGAAGCACUACGACCUUCAUUGCUUUCAAUGGGAAACUUUUGGCGUCAGAAUUCGACACGAGGACAUGAGAUGUUUAUCGCUAUGAAAUCACGUUCAAGAAGUCUCAUUCAGCACACAUCGCGAUACUUGCUAUCAGUUCCACAGUUUGGCUGAAAAGACAUAAAGGCAGUCAGCCCAGUGGUGUUUCUGGAGAGGGAUUCCUUCAGAAAUGGAGAAGACAGAAAGCUGCGGAGGCAGAUAUAUGCAGCAUGUUCGAGUGAGCAUGAUGACCACAAGUGUGUGUCGAACUUUUCAUGACCUGAUGACUGUGUUUCCCAAUCCUGAUCCUGGAGAACCCCAGCACUGCACGGUUUUGGUGUCUCUCUUAUCUGCCUUGGAGUCUUCACUGAUGAGCUGAUGAGUUGAAUCAGGAUUGUUUGAGGAUAACGCUGUAGCUCCAUCAUGCACAAGGACUCACCUCGUUUACUCUUUAUCUCCCGCACACACAGAAAUGGUCCCUGGAUCAGUGAUUAGACUUUGCAGUGGUUUGAUUUUUGCAGAAGAUGUAACUUUGUUUUAAUUAUAAGCUCAUAAUGAAUACAUUACAGAACCAGUGAUGAAAACAAUAGUUAAAAAUAGCGCUCCAUAUUAAAAAUAUAUUGCACACUUGACAUGCAUGUCUUCAUGGUGUUUUUUUGUGAGUUUGAAACAUUUACAUUGUGUUGUAUAACAUUUUGGUCACAACACUUUUUCCAGUGUUCUCUGAAAGACAUACUGUAUUUACUGUUUUGUUUUUUAAUAAAAGCAUUUUCAUUUGCAUACUGAAAAUAGUUAAUGUUUACAACAUAACUGCCUUUUUAUUCUUUAUGGUGGCAAAAACGAGCUUGGUGACAGAGGAUGCAGUGUAGUAAUUUGGGCAUGUUGUCUUUAAAUGAGUUUGACAUAUAAAUAAAUAAUGGAAGAUCCUUACAAAAAUAUGCAUGUUUAUUAUGCUUUAUGUAUUUAUUUGUUCAUUCAUUCAUUCAUUUAUAAUUUCAGUUUUUAUUCCUAGAGUUCAAAUGGUAGAGAAUGGUAAAUCACAGAAACACAAAUGUGAACAAUUUUAACUU